UACGAAGGGGGCUAGCGUUGCUCGGAUUGACUGGGCGUAAAGGGCGCGUAGGCGGUUUGCACAGUCAGACGUGAAAUUCCUGGGCUUAACCUGGGGGCUGCGUUUGAUACGUGCAGGCUUGAGUUCGGAAGAGGGUCGUGGAAUUCCCAGUGUAGAGGUGAAAUUCGUAGAUAUUGGGAAGAACACCGGUGGCGAAGGCGGCGACCUGGUCCGAUACUGACGCUGAGGCGCGAAAGCGUGGGGAUCAAACAGG
rnacentral:rRNA from 1 species